rnacentral:lncRNA from 1 species
CAGAAUCCUAUUGAUGCGAUGUUCGUCUCUUUCACUGCAUUGCAUACUCCACCUAGCCUCUCACAAAAUUCUGGAAACCGUAAAAAGGAAAAACCAUUUCUCUGUGGACCAGGAAUGCUCAUAAUUUGCAGAGGAUUGUGAUUGGCUGAUGGACGCUCCACAAAGUAUGAAAUUUACUCAGAGUUAAACCAGAAGGGUCGACAGCACGGGCUUGGAAGUCAGGUACCCCUGGCUAGGUAGAUCAGCCUGGCCUCUAAGCAGCUGCAGAAGCUUGGCCGAGUCACCUGACUUCACUGUGUGCCUCUUUGUCAUUUCUAACAUGGAUACCAUUAUGUCUCUUUACUGGGGUGAGAAUUAAAAUGCAAAAAUUCACCCAAAGCCUGUGUGGCACAGAGUAAGUGUCCAAUAAGUUCCGGCUCUCACUUGUACUACAAUGAAGUGAUGUGAGUUAAGGUGACAAAAGCAACCUUAGAUUUUCCUCCCUGGGUUGGUUGUGUGCCUCACAAUAGAGCCUGGUGAGUGUUGACAACUUCCGUUUUCUUUUUAUACUUCCUUUAAGCCUUGAUAAAAAGGUCACAAUGAUGUUCUUUAGUCCGUUCUCCAUCAAAGCAGUGAAAUAUCAUCCAAGCAGCUCAGGAACUCCGUUCUAGACAAGCCUUCUCAAAACCACAGCUAUGCCACUAUCAAACAAUGAUACUCUGUUUAUGAAACUCAAUAGGGAAGACAUACGUAACGUUAAACCUUCCUGAAAUGUCACACACUUUUAAACAAGUGUUUUAGUUGUGCAUGUUUUACCUCUUUUCUUUCAAAAUGAAACAGAAGACGAGGUGGGGCUUUAUUUAGUCUGGGGCAAAAGAAAAAGUUUCAUCCAGCAGAGUUUAGCUCCCCUGUCAGAUGAUAAAUGAGACAGGUGAUUUUUUCGCUUCCUUAUUCUUGAAAAAGCUAGCAAUGGUGAGAAACAAUCAUCUUUAGGUCUGAGUGAAGCAAGGGGUCUUCCUUUCUCCUAUUUUCCUUUCAUCCUCUACCUAGCAUUAUUUCUUCUCGAAUGUGUUUUUAACACUAGUUGUUCAAACAGGUCAUGAAUCCUUUCUCCUUCCUUGAUAUACAUUUUGACUGUUGCCAGAAACUACCUUUGAUGUGUUCCUGUAGAGAAUAACACAGGCUUUCCUGUUUGUCUCAGAGCUGCUGAACUGAAGCUUCAACUACAGAGAACAAAACCAUCUGCAUUUAAAAAAAUAUCAGCACCCCCUCCCAAACACACACACACACACACACACACACACACACACACACACACACACACACGCACAUGAACGCACACACAACAUUGUCAUUGUAAACCCAGACCGGGUCUCUCUGGGGUUCAUAGAGUUCCUGUUGUGCCUCUCUUGGUUGUUUUAAUGUGAGUUUUCAUCACGCUACUCCUCAUCUCUGCUAUCUGUGUCUUAAAAUAGCAACAGUCAUUAUCAGAUGGCUGUCCCCCUCUUCCACUCCUGGCUGAACUAGAGAGCCUCUCAGAUUUCCCCACCAAACCUCUGAAUCCAUCUGAGGUUUGCUCAUCUGUCUUUCUAAGUCAGCAGAAGGAAAAACACAGGAAGACUGUGCCUUGAGCUAUAACGAACCCUGGACAUCCCCCAGCUUGUGUCAGUAUCUCCCGAGGAAACUUUUCAUGGAAUCAGAGCGCUGGAAGAGACCUCAAGAGAUCAAAAAGUCCUGAAAAACAAGGGUUCUAAGAAACUGAGAAUCACAGAAUAUUAAAAAUGCAAAAAGCUUCCGUCAUCUCAUCUCCUAUCUUUCUCAUCCAGGUGAAAUUGUUUCCAUUAUUUUGACUUUUCCCUAUUCAUCCCACUUUCUGAUCCUAUAACAGUGUUUAUCCCAUUUCUAUAACUUGCAUGAUUUCUGUUUUAUCUCCAUACUGCCUGUAUUAUUAUUUUUUAAAAAUUGAUUUCAAAAAGAUUCAUUUUUUUCUUUACAUUGGAUUGAGCAGUAACAUCCAUGAAAUCAGUUUUAAUAUAUUAGUUUUACUUUCCCCUUCUAUUACACAGCAAAUGAAACCAUAAUUAUUUUAAAAAUUCAUGCUUCUACCACCUAAAACAAUCACUCAUAUGACUGUCCUACACAUACAACAAGUUGGAAAAAAAUACACUAGGGCAGAAGCCAGCAAACUUUUCCAAUAAAGGACCAAAUAGUAAAUUUGAGCUUUGCAGGCCAAGAGACAAAAUUUAAGAUAUUAUAUAGGUACUUAUAUAACCUAAGAAAACUAAUUUUCACAUUUCCUCCCAAUCAUUAAAAAAUGUAAAAACCAUUCUAACCCAUAGGUCAUACAAAAACAGGUGGCGUUUAGCUCACAGGUCACAGUUUGUCAACCCCUGCUUGAAACAUAUAUCUGAUACUUACUUGAACCUUCUCUGAAAUGUCUAUAAUGGUGAGUGAGACAGAAAAAGACUCAUUGGACGUCUGCGAAGAUGAACUAUUUGGACAUCAUAAGUGUUUAGCAUAACACCAGGCACAAACAACAUUACUCAAUAAAUAUUAGCUGUUGUUUUCAUUACCAUCAUCAUCGUCACCAUCUUCUUCUCUCUUAGUGGGGUUGGUUAACCACUGAGUAUGUGGCUUGGCACACAGUAGGCACUCAGUGAAAGCUAGAUGGUGUUAUUAUUUCACAUGGUUGGGGUAUACAGCAUCUCAACCAUUUGAGCACAUCAGACUUAACUGUAGGAUUUUUUAAAAACACACAUGCUGGUUUUCCACCCCCAGAAAUCCCAGUUUGCCCAAGGAAAAGCUGAGCACAUGACUUUUUUUUGAAAGCUCUAGAGGCGAUUCUGAUGAUUCCAGUCACAAACCAGUGGCUGAUAGAGGGAGGAAAAUCUGGGCAACAGGGUAGGAAAUCCCAAUCUCUAGACUGGCCGUUUGCUCUGCUCAGUUUUAUGGUCACAUACGACACCAGCUGGUGCUUAGCCCACUUUGGAAAUGUUGGAUUCCAUCUGUCAGUCAGUCAUCAACCGAUGCUAACUGAGGAGACCUAUCGCACACUGGCCCUUGAGCCAAGUGCUCAGAUACAAAAAUGAAGGAGGCAAAGGCUCUAUGGUUUAUAGCCCCCUUCCCUCACCUUCCCUCCCUUUGCCACCCUUUGUUUUUCUUCUUAGCCCCUUUUUAACCACAUGGCAUCUUAAGUAUAUAUGUUGCUUCUGUCCCCUGAGAGCAGGGUCCUGAUGGAUCUUACUCAUUACUGCUG